AACAAAAACAUGUCCUUUAGAUAUGAAUUAAAGGUUUAACCUGCCCAUUGAUUUUUUAACGGCCGCAGUAAAUUGACUGUGCAAAGGUAGCAUAAUCAUUAGUUUUUUAAUUGAAAGCUUGUAUGAAUGGUUGGACGAGAUAUAUACUGUCUUUAAUUAAUAUGUAGAAUUUAAUUUUUAAGUUAAAAAGCUUAAAUUAAAUUAAAAGACGAGAAGACCCUAUAGAUCUUUAUAUUUAAUUUAGUAUAAUUUUUUAGGAUUUUUAAUGGUUAUAAUAAUUUAAUUAUUUUAUUGGGGUAAUAGGAAGAUAAAAUAAAUUCUUUUUUUAAUAAACAAUAAUUUUUGGUUUUAAUGGUCCAAUAGUUUUGAUUAUAAGAUAAAGUUACCUUAGGGAUAACAGCGUAAUUUUUUUAAAGAGUUCUUAUCGAUAAAAAAGUUUGCGACCUCGAUGUUG
rnacentral:rRNA from 1 species